rnacentral:rRNA from 1 species
AACGAACGCUGGCGGCAGGCUUAACACAUGCAAGUCGAACGCCCCUCAUGGGGAGUGGCAGACGGGUGAGUAUCGCGUGGGAACAUACCCUUUUCUACGGAAUAGCUCUGGGAUACUGGGAUUAAUACCGUAUACGCCCUACGUGGUAAAGAUUUAACGGGUAAGGAUUGGGCCGCGUUGGAUUAGAUUGUUGGUGGGGUAAAUGCCUACUAAGGCGACGAUCCAUAGCUGGUCUGAGAGGAUGAUCAGCCACAUUGGGACGGAGACACGGCCCAAACUCCUACGGGAGGGGGCAGUGGGGAACAGAGGACAAUGGGGGGAAGGAUGAAGGAGCCAGGCCGCGUGAGUGAUGAAGGUAGUAGAGAAGGAAAGCGCUGUAACCGAUGAAGAUAAUGACGGUAGUCGGAGAAGAAGCCACGGCUAACUACGUG